GUGUGUGUGUGUGUGAUGUGUGCGCGCGCGCCUGCGUAUUACGAAGAGACUUGGAAAAAGGCGUCAUAGCCAGGAUGAUGUAUUGUUAACGUGUAUCGUUUAUGUGAGUAUUUUUAUCAUUUUAAUAAAAACAAUUUUCAAGUAUGCCGAAAACUAAUGCCGAAAAGUGUCGUGAAAAUCGGCAGAAAAGAAAAAAGAAAAAAAUAUUAAGGAGGUCCCAAAAAGUUGAACGGAACGUAUUCGUGAAUUUCGUGUACGCCGAAGAAGGUUAUUAAAUGUGCGAAAUAAUAUUUCUAAUGCGCUUAAUAAUAAUGCGUCCACUGUAGAAAAUAGUGAAAACGAUCAUCCAAAUUAUUUGCUAGAUGGUUUGGAUGGUUUAUUUACUUAUGAAAGAGAGAAUACUUUGUAGUGGGCUCAGGCCUACAUGCUUCUUCUUUCGAGGGAGGAGUGAAGACGCUGUAAAAUGUUCAGUGAUGUAUAGCGUAUAUUAAGGAGCAUCCCAUGAGCAAAAAAUCUGUGUAAUUGAUCAAUUACAUUUGUACUCGCUACAAAUAGAACAAGAGAGAAGUCUAGAUAAAUAGUGCGUCUCAACCAAAACCUGGUUUUCAUUUAUCUAUUUUAAUUUUAUUUCAAGAUGCCGAAAAUAAAUUAUCAAAUCUCAAAGAAGAGUACUGAUCAAAAUAAAGCAACGAAAGUUAAACUACCACAGAAAACUGAAAAGGAACGUAUUCGAGGGUAAAGAGCUCGAAAGCUUUAAAAGGAAAUACAGCAGCCCAUCUGUGAGAUGUAAAUUGAGUGUUGUAAAUCAGGAUGCUCCCCAACCUGGUAUUAGAGAAUGCUGAUAUAUUGCCAAAUUAUCUCACUCAGCUAAAUAGCCAAGUUAAAUCAAUGCGAAUCUUCUACACAAUCUAGGCACAAGUUUGCAUUGGCAAAAGAAAUGUAGCAUGGAAUUAUAUACCAAAGAAAUCAGGUGCAUAGUGAUGCCAAGAGUACAGACUGUGGCAAAAAGUGAUGGAAGACGCCGAUGCUAUUGUCAUUGAAAAACCAGGAGAAUCUCCUGUUACUACUGCUUUCUCAAGGGUCAAAUUGAAUGCAAUGCAACUGGAUCCACGAACAAUUUUAACCGAAGUAAUGGAAAUAGAGGCUGAUAUCCAUGAUAGUUGCAGAACUAUCAACAUCAAAUGUUCGAUCGAUCAAUCAAACUGAUGUAGAUCAACAAAUACCGUAAAAUGCUUAUCACAAAUAUUAUCAAGCUCAUCAGGAAUUUACAACGAGAUUCGUUCGCAAUAAAUUAGGUUAUAUUUGCACCAUUUGUGAUAAAUUAUGGUUUAAAGAAGAUUUGAAAGAACUGCUAGAUGCACAUCAUGAAAUUCUACCAGACAUAUUUAUUGAGAAUAUUCUGGUGUGCAACACGUACUUUUCUACUCUGAACAAACAAAAAAAUUCCAGCGAUGUCUACUUGUAAUGGAUUUAAAACUGCUACAAGAUCUUAUUGCGGAGAGACUAACCUCACCAUGUUGAUGGACAAUAUGGUAUAUAUGGACAAGUCUUCAAUGUACCGGUAUCUGUAAACACAACGAUUAAAAUCCUUCCAAGAAAUAUCAAUGAUGACUACUGCAUAAAUGUGCACAUCAAGCUCAGGAAAAUUCAUCGGACAAGCUAUUUAUACAGUUUGCUCGAUAAACAAAUGAUAAAAGCUUGGUUAGAAGUUUUGAUAUCAUCUCAGUUUUACAAAACAUACAACAUCGACAUUGGCAAAACAAUUUUCAAUGAUGAUUAAGUUUUGCCAGAAAUACUUCUUUUCUUAUUUGGGUCAAUACCAAAGAUUUAGAGAAGAAAUCAAUGUAACACUAUUUAUGAUGCAUCGAGUGAGCUGAGGAGAUUGGAUUUACAGGCUGCAACUAUACACCACUUAUUAUACAUGGCAAUGAAAAUUAUGCAACUACGAGCUCGUGAUUGUCUUACAAUAGCAUUUAAAUAUGUGGGAAAAAAGACCAUGUUCACUCUGCAGCAAAUCGAUGAUCAGUAUAUCAAUAACUAUAUUUUUGCGCUGCUUAUGUAGCUGAAUAUGUUAAUAAAACUUACAAAGUAGUGAGCAGUCUUCAAUGGCUAAUCAUUCAAACUGUGAACGAGUAUCUGGAAUUCGACAUUAUUGACAUUACACGAGAAAUUUACAUCAACAUGCUUAAUAAUGUAGAAUUGAUUAGUCAGGAGGCAGAUUGGUAUUUGUUACAUGAGCAAAUGUCAAAAUGCUUCACUAUCAUAGUUGGUAUUCCAACAGCAUGGCCUGUUGAACGACAAAGGUUAAAAAAAUCAAA
rnacentral:lncRNA from 1 species